rnacentral:rRNA from 1 species
AGAACAAGGAUAAGAGUAACUGCUUGUCCCUUGACGGUAUCUAACCAGAAAGCCACGGCUAACUACGUGCCAGCAGCCGCGGUAAUACGUAGGUGGCAAGCGUUGUCCGGAUUUAUUGGGCGUAAAGCGCGCGCAGGCGGUCUUUUAAGUCUGAUGUGAAAGCCCCCGGCUUAACCGGGGAGGGUCAUUGGAAACUGGAAGACUGGAGUGCAGAAGAGGAGAGUGGAAUUCCACGUGUAGCGGUGAAAUGCGUAGAUAUGUGGAGGAACACCAGUGGCGAAGGCGACUCUCUGGUCUGUAACUGACGCUGAGGCGCGAAAGCGUGGGGAGCAAACAGGAUUAGAUACCCUGGUAGUCCACGCCGUAAACGAUGAGUGCUAAGUGUUAGGGGGUUUCCGCCCCUUAGUGCUGCAGCUAACGCAUUAAGCACUCCGCCUGGGGAGUACGACCGCAAGGUUGAAACUCAAAGGAAUUGACGGGGGCCCGCACAAGCGGUGGAGCAUGUGGUUUAAUUC